rnacentral:rRNA from 1 species
UACGGAGGGUGCAAGCGUUGUUCGGAAUUACUGGGCGUAAAGCGCACGUAGGCGGCGAUUUAAGUCAGAGGUGAAAGCCCAGUGCUCAACACUGGAACUGCCUUUGAAACUAGAUUGCUUGAAUCCAGGAGAGGUGAGUGGAAUUCCGAGUGUAGAGGUGAAAUUCGUAGAUAUUCGGAAGAACACCAGUGGCGAAGGCGGCUCACUGGACUGGUAUUGACGCUGAGGUGCGAAAGCGUGGGGAGCAAACAGG